rnacentral:rRNA from 1 species
CAUCAAUUGAGGAGAAGGGGGCAACCCCCGAGUAGAGCGCGCACGGGGAGUACGCGUGGUAACCUACCCCCAGGGGGGGAUAACUACCGAAAGGGUGGCUAAUACCGCAUGAGACCACGGGAUCUUCGGAUCCUGAGGCUAAAGAUCGCACCGGCUUGCCGGUGCUGUCACCAGGGGAUGGGCCCGCGUCCGAUUAGCUAGUUGGCGAGGUAAUGGCUCACCAAGGCUACGAUCGGUAGCUGGUCUGAGAGGAUGAUCAGCCACACUGGAACUGAAACACGGUCCAGACUCCUACGGGAGGCAGCAGUGAGGAAUAUUGCGCAAUGGGGGAAACCCUGACGCAGCAACGCCGCGUGGGUGAAGAAGGCCUUCGGGUCGUAAAGCCCUUUCGGACGGGACGAACGCUCCGCGGGACAAGCCGCGGAGCCAGACGGUACCGU